UGUAUAAUUUUACCCCGAACUGCUCAAUCCGGAGGUCAAGUGUUCGAUCCCCACUGUGUUCACAGUCACAGCUUUCCAUGUGACAAAAAUACCAAUUUAAAUUCGUUUGAACAGUGAAUGAGAACUAGUUUUUAAAAGCAGAAAUACACACUCAAAGACUUAAAACAAUUUAAAUUUUAAUACAGUUAAAACGAGUGUCGAAGGUACAACAGCUUUGUAUUCUGUCUAAUAUUCCACUUAGUUUAAAUGAAGCAACAACUUUAGAAUUCAACAAAUUGUCUGUGAAAAUGAAAAAUGAAACGUUAAAGCGCAAUGCAUUUUAAUUUAUUUCAUCAUUUUGUAAAGAUGAAAGUCUAUUCAAAUUUUCAUCUGUGAAAGUGAAAGAACUCUUGACAAAACUAUACAACAAUUUUGCAUGUAUUUCAUAAAAAUGUUAAAAAUGAAAGACUGUCGAAAUCUGCUUCAACUAUCCAAAUCUGUAGGCAUUUAUGUAGAGCAUUUUAUUUUCAAGGGAAAUAAUUGUGGUCUGACUGUAUUAUUUUGAAAAUCACAGUUGAGAUUUUUUUAUGUGUGCACCGGUACAGUUUUGCGGGGAAGCGAAAGUUGACAUGGAAUUUUGUCUUCUUCUAAAAACAAGUGUUUGAUACAUGUAGUUGCAGUCUGUCUUUGGAAGCUGUAGAAAAUACAAGAAAGAGGCUGACAUAGUGUUUUGGUAGGGAAAAGUUUGAGUAUGUACAUGUACAGUUGUUUGACCUGUCUUACCCUGUGGCAGUCCAAGAAGAUGUUACCAUUAUGAAAAAUGCAGGAGAACUUGAAGACAAUUGUUAGUGCAGAAGGGACAUAGAAGUUAUGACAAAAGUAACAGAUAUAAAUAAGAAGUGCUACAAGUGUGUUGUCAUGUGAAAUGGAAUUUACCCCAACUGUGCUGCAAGAUGUAUAUUCAAGUGCAAGACAGCCAUGCACCAGCUGUAAACUGAGAUGGACCCAUAUAAUAAAUAUGUUGACUUUUCUAUGUAUUAUCAUCUGUACAGAAUGUGUAUCAUGACAAGACUGUAUACAUAUAUUGUUAAAUCAUUUUUAUUUCCAUUAUUGCAUGCAUGUAAGAAGCAAGCAUUUAACUAUUGCAUUCAUAGAGUGUUAAAAUGUGAUCAAUCUAAUUUAAAGAAAACACAUUUAAUUGGACUUUUUAAGUUUCAUAGUAUUUGUGGUGGAGACUGACCCAGUCAUUCAGCAACUUAUACUGUCUGUGUGUCAUUUCUUGUAUGUUAUAGUUUUCUUAAUAAUACAUUAAAUGUCAAAGUUAUGGUAAGAUGAACUCAUUCAUCACUUUUAGAUUAAUGUUAAAGCAGUUCAACAUUUUACCAUAAGUUAACUAAUAUUCUAUUUAACCAGAGUUGUCACAUAUUUUCAUAUAAAUAUUUGUAUAAUACAGUCUAAUCUAAUCUACAUAUGAUGUGCCACAAUUUUUUAGUUAUAUUUUAUGUUGAUAUUUUAUGUUGUUUUCAUGUCUCAACAUAUAAUUACUAACAUCAAAGAAACUUAAGUAUUUUACAAUUUGGUUGGUAUAAUUGGUUGUUUUGUUUAUAUAUUUUAUUUUUUUCCAUCCAGGAGAAUAAAGAAAUAUACAUUUCAAAAUAUCUCAUCAUUCUAGAUAAGUACACUACAUAAUCAAGAUAAAAGAAAUAAGAACAAAAUAUGUUGGUGGAAUUUUAUUUUCAAAAAUUUGAUAUACUGUCUUUGUAGUAUUUACUUCUUUAGAUAUGUUGGACUGAAAUGGGAAUAACAACAUACUUUAAAUUUUUUGUAGUCAUAAGUUAAUAUGGGAAUUAUUAACUUAACUUAAAAAGAUUUUAUCUCACUGUUAUGCAAUCUGAGUUUUAAUAUUUUUCAACAUUGUCAUUGGCAACAAGGCUCAAAAUUAUUUGUUGUGUAUACCUUGCAUUCAUGUGUGAUAAAUGCUUUAUGGUAUUCUUUAAUAUAAUUUAUGCUUUUCAUCUUACCAUGGAUUAAAAAAAUAUAAAUUUAUUUGUCUGAAAAUUAAGGUAAAAAUACUGACUGAUUAAAUUGCAAUAAUUAUAAGAAAGCUUAUUUGAGAUAAAGGGAGGUAAUUCCAUAAAAAAUAUGUAGAAUGUAGAUGAUAAAUGUAAUGAAGGGAGGUAAUAAAAUAUUGUGAAGUUAUUAGUCUUCAUUUCUUUGAUGAGCUAAUUAAUUGUUUUACAUUUUGGUUUAUUAACUACAAGUAUGACCUAACAUGUGUACCUGUCCUGAAGGAAAAUGAAAUAGGUUGUUUGAUGUCCUUGUACUGUUAAGUUGUUCCUGUAUUUGUUUACAUUCCAUGUCUGAAUGAAAUGAAGAAACAGACUUUAAUGAGGGUAUCCCGGGAAAAUACCUAAGUUGAUUUUUAUAUCAGCAAAUUUGAUGAGAUAGUCAUUCAGGAGUUGUCUAUCCUAUUUCCAAAAAUGCUAUGGGGACUAAAUUUUUUGGAGUAAAUAUCUCUUUUAAAAAAUAACACACAGCAUUUAAAUAUUGUAUAUAUAUUAUCUGAUGCAGUUGGCAAUAUAUAUUUGGAGUCAAAAUGUUAAAAAUUCCGGUUUUAAUUUUUUAGUUACAAUGUCUACAUUUAGCGGUGGUUGUAACAUAUCACGUCAACCUUUCUAUAUUUGACUUUGGUUGCGACAUUUAACGGUGGUGCGAUAGUUAACGGUGCCACGAUUGUGUCACAUUAAUAUUCUUUCCAGAACACCACACUUAAUUAGAUUUUUCAUGGUUUAGCAAAGGUGAACACGCACGUUUAUGUUUUCAAUUCUUAGCAUUGCGGAAAAUAACUAUGAACAUGAGUAAUAACUGCAGAUAGCAAGAAUCAGAAAUUUUCAGUUACUUCUCUCCCUUUAAACAUUAAAAAUAGAGCAAGGAAAUUUAACCCAUAUCAAAUUCCUUGUAAACAAGAGAAGUGUUUUGUUGACAGGGGACUGAAAAAUGUUUAAAAACUAUGUCUUAUAAUGUAAAUUCGGAAAGAAAAUUUCUCUAACAGACUUCGCAGUAAAAUGGCUGCAGGAAGAUUCUCCGCAUCAAUCAGAGACGGUUCGGAUGCGGACUUUGAGUACACAUGUACCAAGUGUGAGGGAUACCAUGUAAGGGAGGAAGCUGUCAAGUACUGUCCAGAAUGUGAGGAGUAUCUGUGUACAAAAUGUACCAACCAGCAUGGUCAAAGAAAAGCUUUUAUUUCACAUAAGCUAAUAGACACAGUUGCUACAAAACGAGGAAUAUGGUUACCAUAGCUACAAAA